UUGAGACGAGACGUGAGACACGUUCGUAGCGGUCGAUAAAGCUUCCGACCCGGUUUGUUUGGUUUAGUUGUUACCCUCUUUAUUUCUGUUGAUAUAACUUAGACAUACUGGUUCAGUUGAUUUUGUUUACUUGGAUAAAUAUGAUUUUCUUAAAUGAAUUAAAGGACUUAUGGUUUACAUUGAGAUGAAAAUAAUUUUCUACUCCUCGUGGUAGCGUGUUUUUAAAAAGAAAAAUGUUUCCGUGUGGGAAACAGUUUUUAAAAGGUUUUCUCGUGGUUUUUCAUAACUUAGUAUUUCAAAACCAGUUUUCGGGUAGAAAACUUUUUAAAUAAUAGUUGUGGAUUUAUGUUUAAAAUCUGAAAUAUGAAUCUGUGGUGAAUGGUGUAUGAAUAUAUGAAUGGUUGAAUGUUUGUAUAUUCAUUUGUGGUGGUUGUAUCCUGAUUAUACAUCUUGUAACUGUGCGACGCCGAACAAAGACAGGGGAGACUCUGUCCGUGUGAACAGUGGACUCCCUGUAUUUGUGGCAGAUCUGGCAUGCCCUGGGGGUCAGGUUUUCAAAAAAAAAAA
rnacentral:lncRNA from 1 species